CCUGUAGCUCAGCUGGAUUAGAGCGUUGCCCUCCGAAGGCAGAGGUCGUAGGUUCGAAUCCUACCAGGUGC
rnacentral:tRNA from 1 species